rnacentral:rRNA from 1 species
GAUGAACGCUGGCGGCGUGCUUAACACAUGCAAGUCGAACGAAGCAGAUUGAGAUCUUCGGAAGGAUAUCUGACUGAGUGGCGGACGGGUGAGUAACGCGUGGGUAACCUGCCUCAUACAGGGGGAUAACAGUUAGAAAUGACUGCUAAUACCGCAUAAGCGCACAGUAUCGCAUGGUACAGUGUGAAAAACUCCGGUGGUAUGAGAUGGACCCGCGUCUGAUUAGCUAGUUGGUGGGGUAACGGCCUACCAAGGCGACGAUCAGUAGCCGACCAGAGAGGGUGACCGGCCACAUUGGGACUGAGACACGGCCCAAGCUCCUACGGGAGGCAGCAGUGGGGAAUAUUGCACAAUGGGCGAAAGCCUGAUGCAACGACGCCGCGUGAGUGAAGAAGUAUUUCGGUAUGUAAAGCUCUAUCAGCAGGGAAGAAAAUGACGGUACCUGACUAAGAAGCACCGGCUAAAUACGUGCCAGCCGCCGCGGUAAAAC